AAAUGCGUAUUUGAAUCCAACAUAACUAUUGUCGUUAAAAAAUCUAAUCCUACCAGCAUAGUAUAUCUCUCAAUGGUCGUAUGAUGCUUCCUACUAUAGAAGGGAAAUUUUGUUAACCAUUACAAUGACAAUUCAGAUCCAUACGGGUACAAAUACCUUGUAGAGAGGCAUGCAUUCCACAUUACUUUGUCCCUCGUGUCAAACAAAAUCAAAUAGCCUGCAGGAAAAAGUGAAUCUCAUUUGAAUUGGCAUGAUACUAAAUUCAAAUUCUUACAAAAGAAGUUGUAAUAUAAAUGUUUUACACACAUCAGAAUGAAUGAGGAGUUUAUUAGAAACAAGUUUGGUAAAAAGUAAUCAAUCAGAUAAGUUCCUAUAUGCUCCAUUACGUUCCACCCGUCAAGCAGAUAAUUUUAUAGACGUAUUCAGCAAAUAAUGCACAAGUGAUACGAUUUACAAUAGUCGUACUAAAUUAUAUACUACACUAUCCAUUCUUUACAAAGACUAAUUUACUGCGCUAUUAUUUGUAAGCAAGUGUGUCGUGAAACAAUAAGUUAUGCAUAACUUUAUUAACGGAAUUGGUAGUCAGGUUCAGAAGCAAGGCGAUCAAUUAACAUUUUUAAGAAAAUGAGAUGUCACUAAAUAGUGAGGAAGAAUAACCUAGGAAGUCAAUAAAAAUGAAUAAAAUUCAUACCAUUUUCUUAUAAUCACAGAGAUUAAAAAAACUUCAAUUGACCUUUAGACACUCAAUCCCUAAGGGAAAAAAGGUUAAUUAAUUAUUAACAAAUCAUAUAAAGCAGAAAAAUCCAGCAGUACUGACCAACUAAUUAGACCUUGUACCUUGUUCUAUUAUAUGUUAUGUUACCAGAGUAACUGCAGUAGCUGCAGAAGUUAUAGUUAAACUAACCAGGGAAAGACAAUGAGGCUUUAUUCAUAAAUUCUUGCAAGGGUUGUGCAGAUGCUCUUCAAAGUGUGUCUACAUUUCAUAAAAAUGCACAAGCUUAUUUAAAAAAAAACAUUUGGCACACACCUUUGCACCUUCUGAGGAAAUUCUAGGAAAUUCUUAAUUAAGGUAGCUCUUGGACGGUUACGUUUCUUCAGAAACAAAAAGUGCGAUGGCAUAUAACCAAAACGCAUGAAAAUAUAAUUUGAAAAGCUUUCAGAUCAAUUAGGUAUAUUGGAAGGUAAAAGGCAAGCAUAAAAAUACAUUUUGACUUAUAUCGGACUCCGAGUAGCAAACAUGAAAGUAAAAAAAGUAAAAAUACAUUAAUUAAGACAUCCAGAUCAAUAAGAAGUUUGUAAAAGAUCUCAAUCCCCCUUUGAAAUAAAAGAACUCAAAAGGUAAACAUAAUAAGAGAAAUGAUUACCAAAAUAAGGGGAAAAAGAUAGAAACAAAAAAAUAAAAAAUAAAAAAAGCACAAGGGCCUAAACAUCAAAAGAAAUGAAAUGAAAUAACACAACCGCAAUUAUGAGGAAUAACAGAUAGACAUGGAAGGAUAUAUAUUUCUGCAACAUGGACAAAAGGACAACGUACAUAUGGAAGUAGGAGGAAAAAUAAAUUGGCUAGAAUAGAAUAAUAGUGAAGUGACGAUACAAGAGGGGCGGGAUCGGCGGUUGAGCUUCAGCGGAAGAGGUCAACAAAUGUAGGCUAGAUGUGGAGGUUGUACGUGUAAACAGCGUUGUUCCGCAGCGAGAAAGAAUAAAAGAAAAUGGAAAACAAAAAGCAGGCAGGUUGAUUGAGCUGGUUCUCAAGAAUAUAAAAAAUAAAAAUAAAAAGGCAGUGCAAAUGUGGAGCAGUAAGUACGAUACGACAGUGUUUUAGAAUAAAAUGGGGCAAAAAAAAAAGGGGGAAAAGAAAUGGGAUGAUGUGAUAAGAAUGAAAACUCAACUAUCUUGCGGUAAUCAGUCAUGUGGCAUGAUUAUAUUUAAAACGAAUCAAUCAUGUGGCAUGAUCCUCAUAAUAGCAUGCCCGUUACUGAAGUGCGAAUUCCACAAACGCACAUAAAUACACAAACUUCAUAAUAAAAAGUUUCACAUAUCACGCACAAGCAUUAAACAUAGAUUGCUAAAUUAAAUAAAUAAUCGAAUUGUUACCUUAAAAUACAGACAUUAAUCCAACACCUGAAGCAAGAGAGCAUACCUAUAUGCCAAAAUUAGGUGCCAAUUAUAAGAAAAUGGGCCAAAAUUAAUGAAAAUGUAAAUUUAAGGAAAAUGUGGAUAAUAUUACUGAAAAUGGCAUUCCAUCUCCGAUCUAUAAGCCUAAAUGCGAAAACUCACAUCUUGUUCUGUGUCACACAAUGAGCAGAUGACCUGAAGAGGGAUACAAAGCCAAAAUAAGUUGAUUUUGGAUAAAUGACCAAAAAACAAUAUAUGAAUCAAUAUAAGAAAAAUAAGAUCUUCAAGGAAUGAGAGAAGGGAAAACAAUACCAAUUAAGUUCGAAAGAUAUUCCCAAACACAUCCAUUAAUUACGUGACUCGAGUGGAUAAACUUCUAAUUAGUUCUGCUUAUUUAUAGAUUAAGAGGGUCAAAAUAUAUAUGAAUUAUAAAUCUCGAGUAGAAGGAUCCAAUCUUAUUUAUAGAUUAAUGAGUUAUAGUAAUAAUAUUUUCUUUCAAAUCUGACCUUUCAAUCAUUGUGGCAGUGCCUACAGUCAAAUAUUUCAUUGCAAGAAGGUGCUA
rnacentral:lncRNA from 1 species